AUGAGGAAAAAAGAAAACUUCUGGAUUGGAAGUUAAGGCUGAACAUUAUCAAUGGAAUUGCAAAAGGACUCUUAUACCUUCAUGAAGACUCUAGACUUAGAGUAAUCCAUAGAGACCUAAAAGCAAGUAAUGUUCUAUUAGAUCAAGAGAUGAAUCCAAAAAUAUCUGAUUUUGGAUUGGCAAGGGCAUUUGAAAAAGACCAAUGUCAAGAAAACACAAGAAGAGUUGUCGGCACAUAGUAUGUGUUAUUGUUGUUGGUAAUUCUUUUUAUUCAAGAAAAAUUAAUCAUUUACUCUAAAAAAUUUGCUAAAUUUAGUGGCAUUCAUUUUGGUACAGUGGAUACAUGGCACCAGAGUACGCUAUGGAAGGGUUAUAUUCUGUGAAAUCUGAUGUUUUCAGCUUUGGAGUUCUUUUAUUAGAAAUAAUUUGCGGAAGAAGGAAUGGUGGAUUCUAUCUCGCGGAGCAUGGUCAAAGUCUUCUUGUAUAUGUGAGUCAUACCUUUUAAUAUUAGUAAGAAAUCAAUGGGUUAAAUAUAUUUUUUAUUUUACUAAAGUUAAAUAAAAUUUUAUUUGAUUUAUACCAAAAAUCUUUCAUUUUUAGUGUCUAAAAUCUAAAUUGUGUGAUUUUAAUCCCAAGUAAAAGCUAAAAACACACUAUUUUAAAAUAACUUUAAGGACUAAAACUGAAUACAAAUUUUAUAGCACCAAAAUAAAAUUUUACUAAUUUGGUAUACUAAAUCCUAAUAAUUGAUGCAUGUUAAAAAAAAAUAUAUGAAUUUGUUUUAAGUAGAUUUUCUGAAUAUGCAUGCAGAGUUGGAAUCUUUGGUGUGAAGAUAAAAGUUUGGAACUGUUAGAUCCAAUACUGAAAAAUACAUACACAACAAAUGAAGUUAUUAAAUGCAUACACAUUGGUUUGUUAUGUGUACAAGAAGAUGCAGUGGAUAGACCAACCAUGUCCAAUGUUGUUGUAAUGCUAGCAAGUGACACAAUGACACUUCCCAAUCCUAAUCAUCCAGCAUUUUCAGUUGGAAGAAAAGUAGUGGAAGGUGAAUCAACAUCAAAAGCUUCCAAUGAUCCUUCUGUCAAUGAAGUAACAGUAACAAAUAUUUUACCUAGGUAGGUAGUGGAUAUAACAUGGUAAAUAAUUUGGACUCAAAUUUCCUAUUAUCGAAAUUUCUUAAAGUCACUUCAGUAAGUUCAUUUAAGUCGUAAGAUAAACAUAAGAAAAUUUAUACAUAAAUUUUUGCAAAUUGAGAUAUCAAAAUCUCAGCCAUUUGAUUUUUAUCAACAAUCGAGAUUAUUAGAUAAUAUACUAUUGGAUUUAUGUUGUUGGACCUUGUAUAUGUACAAGUUAUAGUAGUCUCGUCGUUCUAGGUUUUGGUGGAUAUUCUCUUUGUAACUCUUUUCAUCAUGGUAAAUUAUUAUUUAGUGUAUUGAAACCCUAGCCUCUUUUUCCUUCACUAUUUUGUAAUCUCUAUUGUUAACAUGACAUUUAGGGCUUGGCUCGAUCCUUCUUGAAUUACCUCACCACUAUUCCUUUGUUAAAUUUUCAAAAGUUGAGAAUGUGUCUGCUUUGCUUUUUGAUGACUGAUUCUAUUAGCAUAUUGGGAGUCUUCUAGACUUGUAGUUCACACAAUACUUGGUGGUGUUCCUUCAGAAGCAUUUUCUCUCGCAAAAUACUGGCUAUAUAGCCUUAUACAAUUGAAAAACAGAAACAAAGAACUAGCAGCCCCACGUUUUACAUGGCCUGCAACGUGGAAUGACUAGGUCAUGGAGAAAUUCUAAUUCUUAUCUACACAACUCCACUUCCCUAAAAAAUAGGACUUUAUUUAACAAACUGAUAAGGGAAUUUCUAUGGUACAUCCGCAAAUUAAGGUGUAUCGGUACUCCUACUUCAAAAAUCUUUAAAUUAACUAUUAUUUUUAUGGAAUAAAAAGCUAUUUGUUGAUAUUUAUAUUUUAGAAAAUGUCAUUUCAUAAAAAAAAAAAAAAUAUCAUUUCAUUGUUUAUAAAAAUCAUACUAAUUUUUUUACAUUUUAUUGUAAAAAUAAUCAAAAUUCUCUAUUUCAGUGUCCAUAUCUUUGCUUCUAAGGUUUUUCUGUUUCUAUGGUGAUUAUUUGCUCUAUUGCGCGUCAUUUGUCUCAAAGACUUGGUUGGAUAUGUUUGGUUGCUGCUCGCUCUUAGUUUUUCUCUUUGGACAUGAUCUCUUUGUUCUCUUGGCUGAUUCUUCUAUUUGAUUUCCUCUUCAUCGAUCUGCUUCUCACUAUGAUGGUUUGAUUUGGAUUUGUUUAGUUUGAUUUGGUUUCGUAUGAUUUUGUUUGGUUUGGUUUGGUUGUGUGUGAUUGCUCCUCCCUAAUUCUUUUUAUUUGACUGCCCUCCUCCAUGUUGAAUCUUUGUUUGUUGGUUCUAAUAUGCAGCAUCUCGUUUGGAUACUUAAACGAGUCCAAACUGUACACGUCACUUGUUUCAUCGUUAAUAUAUAAUAAGCACCUAAUCUCUCCAACGAAGCACCCGGAAUAAAUUAUUAAAUGGGUAAGAGUAGUAACUAUAUAUCAUUAAAUUUUAACAAUAAUUUAUCUAUUUAUUCAUAAUUUUGAAAUAUUGAAUUAAUUUCAUUAUAAACUAUAAAAAAAAGUGAACAAUUUUUUAUUUUAUUAAUAAUUUAAAAAAAAAACUUGAAAAAAUAUUAAAUUAUAAUAAAUUACAUACGUUUGAUUUCUUUUUAACUUUAAGAUGAAUAAAUUAUUUGAUGCAGUAAAAAAUAUGUAAUAUGAUAAAUGAAUCUAAAAUAAUAUAGAAGAAUUUUACUCUUUUUCCAAUUUUUCAAAACUUCAUAUUUUCUCUUGUGCUUUUGUCAAGGACUUGAGUGAGGGGUUGGCAAAAUUGUUGUUCUACUACAAUCACAGAAGUAAAUGUCGUGUUUGUGCUAAAUUAACAUUCAUACAAUAUCUUUACAAAUGUGUCAAUAUCAUAAGUAGAACUUUCUCAGCAACUAGACCAAUUUUUCAACAUUGACGGACAAUUUGUAUAUAAAUUUCUUUAUUCUGUUUAAGAAUUAUCAUUAUCAAGACAAAAAUGUGAUAGUGAAGCUCAAAUCCGUACCAUAUUACACAAAAAUUCCAUCUAGAUGAAUUAAUUUUACCAAGUCAUACUUCAAUCCCGUCUCUAUAUAAUAUUUUGUUAUAAAAUGUGAUAUACGUGUAAAUUAAAAUGAAAUCAAAUGUGAUUAUGCCAUUUUUCCUUAAAAAAAAAUGAUUAUGCCAUUUUUUUUUAUCAAUGAUAAUAUUUAUUCUAACCUACAAUGAAGUCUUGGGGGACGGAUAUACAGGGUCCACUAUUCUCUUCUUCUUUUUCUGAGAUUACACAGCAACAAUGCGUAAAACUUUAUAAUAAAUUAUAGAAAAAGAUUAAGUUACCUUUAGCAUCAAAGAGUUGUUCAUGAGACCUUGCAUUCACAUGCGGUGCUAGCAAGAAGUGACUGCUGUAUUCUGAAGAGUAUUAGCUAUGAGACCUAUCGCAUCUAUGAUAAUAUUUAUUCUAACCUACAAUGAAGUUUCUAGAGAAAUCAAAAUAUUCAACCAUUCAGAACAAUUUUUUAAUAAAACAAAACAUUUACAAACACAAAUAUAUGUCUUGCUAACUAGUACCCUCUCACGACAAUGAUUAAGGAUUUUGCAUUGGAAAUUACAACUUUUUAAUUUUAGAAAGUUAAACUCAACACUUUUUACCAUUUUUCAACAAAUUAUAUCUAUUUAUGUUCUCUUAACCAAUGCACGAACACUAUUUAGCAUAUAUCAUUUCUCACUUUUUAAGAAAACUAAAAUAUGAGAAUUUGAAGUAUAAUUUCUUGUGUCCUCCUUAAAAUUAGUUUUAUGGGAAGAUGUAAAAACAAUAUUCAUUGGUUAUUUGUUAUGGAGAAAAUGAGAGGAAAAACAAAUUAAAUGCAACCUUGUGACAAGCUAACCAAAUAAAAAACUUGUAUUUUUCUUGAAUUUUUAGGCGCCAAAUCCAAGACCAAGAGAACGGCGAGUUGAUUGCGGUGUCUGAUCCGGAUAAAGAAAGAAGCCACUUGUAGCCGCUUUUGGUGGAAUAGACUCCAUUUUUAUUGAGAGGCCAAACAAAAGCAUCAUCGACUUCAUCAUUGAAUCUGAUACUUGUGUUGUUAACGAAAUCCGCUACUGCUUGAGGAAGAGUGGUGUAAAGAGAUAGAGAACGCUGCCUAUUAAAAGUAAGAACAUCCUUAAUUGUGAGAUGAAUAUUGUGGAUGUCUAUAGCAGGGACCUUCGAAACCAAAAAUCAUUCCAACCAAAACGAAGAAAUAAAAAUAUUCAACCAUUCAAUUUUUUUUAAUAAAACAAAUCACUUAUACCAUUGGCCACCCUCUUCAAUUAGUAUUUAAUUUAAUUUUUGUACCAAGAUGUUGCUUUCUUCACUUAGCAUAAUUAAUAAACAUUGACUUCCGUACACAUGUCAAUAAAUGGUUGUGUAUAAAAUAGACCUAUGCAAUUAUUGGUUCAUUAUGGAUGGCCAUAAAUAUAUUAUUAAGGGAAAUGCUACUAAGUGCUCUUGUUGAUAAGAAGUCUAAUUAGAAAACUGUAUCUUGUGAAUUGAUUAAGCUGAAACUUUAAAAAUUAACUUUUGCUUCAUUAUUAAACACAUCAAUUAGUUUUACUUUUUUCUUGUGAGGGCACUUGUUAACAUAACUCAUUAUUAAAAUACUUGAACGAAUAUUAUACAAUUUUUUUUAUUGAGAAAAACAAAAUGAUAUUCAUUCAUUCAAAUUGAUAGAAUACUUCAGAUACAAUAACAUGGUCAUCAUUGCUAAAAACAUGAAGGUGAAUCUACGAACAAACUCACUGCACCCAAUUUAAUAGCCUACAACGGCAAAAUGCCUACAAAUAAUAUGAUGAAUUCUAAAUCAUCAGAAUACCCCUACUUUCGAAUCUGCAACGUUGACGUUCAAAUCAUUGAUGAUUCUAGGUCGAAAAACGACAUAGAACCACCCCUCCUCAAUGAAUGAAAGAGAACUUAAAGUUAAAUUGAAGUUUCUCUCACUAUAGAAACAUUGACAAUAAAUUUUUGAUAUCAUACAAUGUUGGGUACCGACUCUUCAAGUUUCUUAAACAACAAAACCUAUUUUCAAAAAUAUAAACAUUAUUGCGGUGUUUCUAUUAAUUAAAUUUUUAUUUUAUAUGCAAAACACUGUUCAAUGUUAGCACCGUUGUUGCAGAUUUUAAAUGUUGAUAUAAAAACAAAUUUUAUAUACAUACAUAAAAAAGUCGAUAUGAUAAAAUAUUAAAAACUCGUGAUUAUUUUCAAUAUAAACAUCAAUGUAGUAUUUUUAUUAAAUAAAUUUUUAUUUUAUAUACAAUACACUAUUUAAUGUUUGCUAAACGAUUAUAAAAUUAGUGAGAAGCAAAAACCUCCGGUACCAAGUCAUUUUGAAUGGUGAAGGCCAAAUGGCACCUCAAUGAUUAACCUCAAUUCUUGAAUAUAAACUUCAACUAGCCAGAACAUAUUGCUAUGACAAUCAUUUCAUCACAAAAUAAAAAUGGCAAAAAAACUCAUACUCAUUUUCAUCAUUAGAUUUAUUAGCAUCAUUAGUCUUUUCACAAAAUCAAUUGCACAAUCACCAAAUUAUGUAGGUGAUGAUUGUCACAACUCAACCGAACAAUCUCUUACAGCUACAUACAAAUCUAACCUUAAUAAAGUCCUCUCACUUCUUUCCUCUGAUGCUAUUGUAAGUAAAGGAUAUAAUCAUACAAGCAUAGGAGAGAACACAAUUGAUGCUGUCUAUGGUCUCUAUGAUUGUAGAGGUGAUGUCACUGGAUCAUUUUGUCAAUUUUGUGUCUCUACUGCUGCUUCAGAUGUUCUUCAGCGCUGUCCUAAUAGAGCUUCAGCUGUUAUAUGGUACAACUUUUGCAUUUUCAGGUACUCAUCGUAAUGAAUCCAACAAUAUCUUAUAUGAUAUUAUUUAUCUUUGUAUAUUAGUAAAAAAAUAUGGUCAAAGUAUAUCUGAUCAAUAGUGCAGAGAAAGUAUAACUUAAGAUAUCUAAAUAUGUCUCUUGAGCAGGUAUUCCAACCAUAAUUUUUUUGGAAACCUCACAACAAGUCCAUCAUGGCAAAGGCCAGGGUCAAAAAACAUCACUAAUCCACAAGAACUUGAUAAAGCUGAGGAUAAUAUGCAAAGUUUAAUAAGUGAAGCUACUUUGGAGACCAAUAAGAUGUAUGCAAUGGGGGAGUUCAAUUUGAGUAUUGAAAAGAGAUAUGGAUUGGUGCAGUGUAGUAGGGACCUUAAUGAAAAACAAUGUAAUCAAUGUUUGGAAGCUAUGUUGGACAAAGUUCCUAAAUGCUGUGGGACAAAGAUUGGUUGGCAGGUUCUUGCUCCAAGUUGUUUGAUGAAGUAUGAUGAUUUUAUGUUCUACCAACUUACUUCUGCAACUUCUGCUCCUUUGCCAAAUCCAGGUUUGUAUGGAAGAUAAUUUUUGACUCACUUUUUUAUUCUUGUUACAAGUUUGUUUCUAUAUAUUGUUUCUUCAUUCUAUUAAUUAUGAAGAUAUUAAAACACCAUUUAAAAUACUCUAGUUUUAUAAUCAAGACUAGAAUCUUUUUUAUUUUUGAGGGGAGACUGAAAUCCAUAUUGACUAGUAGUAUUGUGUGGUUAUCAAGGAUGAGAUAAUUUUUUUACUUUCUAAAAAAGUGUGUAUGCUUUUCUUAACGAAUGGUUUAUUUACAGAUCAAAUAACACAUUUAGUCCUUUUAAUUUGAUAGAAUUUUCAAGUUAGUCUUUAAGUUUCAAAAGUUUUAAAUAAAUCCUUUUAGUUUGACAGAAUUCUCAAGUAAAUCUUUUAAAUUUCACCGUUACCCCUGCUGUGUUAAUAAUUAAUUGAUGCUGAUGUAGCCUUUAAGUUGUUGACUUGGAUCAAAACGCUGCAUUUUAAAAUCUCAAAGGUGUCAAAACGUUACGUUUAAUGGUCAUAAAUGAUCGUUCUAACACUAUAAAUGUUAUUUAAUAGUGCUAGAAAGACAUUUGUUGUUGUAAAUAGCUACCUUUCUAGCACUAUAAAUGAUCAUUUGUAACCAUUAAACGUAGCGGGGUGGAGGUGGUUUGAAUUGUGUUAGUUUUAUCUUCUAUUUAAACUAAGUCCAAUGUUCAGAGUCUGAUUGAGUUCAGAUUCAAGAACAAAAUUAUGAUUUUAAUGCGGGGGGGGGGGGAAAGGGGGGGGGAGAGAAAAACACAAAACAAUUAUAUAUCUUCUGCGCUCUUUAGUGGAUAAGCAUUCAAUGUAUUCUAAUUCCUCUGAAAGAGUUGUUGCUUCAGGCUUCUAUUCCUUCUGCAAUCAUGUGUCUUCGAAAUAACCAACUUUAACUAACUUGAGCUUCUUGACAUCAGACUCUGAUGAACUUCAGUCUCUGGCAGUCAGCUUUUGAUGGUCUUCAGACUAAGACUUGCAACAUAAGCUUCCUUUGUAAAUUCCAUUGCUCUCUUUUGUUCUUCUAGAACCAAUACUUUAAUUUAAGCCUUACAAAUUUUUAGUUUAUGGUCCUGCACACUUGAACAAAUAUUAGCAUAUCCAAUUGAUUUUUUUUAAUACAUUGUUAUUAUCAAAACUUAAUGUGGUAAUGUUAAACAAAUUUUGUUCCAACACUCGGGAGCUUUUAAAAGACAACACUUUUCUUCAAGUUAACAACUUAACGGCUACAUCAGGAUCAGUUAAACGCAGACUAACAGUAGGGAUAACGGUGAAAUAGUUUAUCAAUUAAAAGGACCUAUUUGAAACUUAAAGGACUAACUAGGAAAUCAUGUCAAACUAAAAGGACAUAAUUGAAACUUUCGAAAUUUAAAGCAUUAACUUGAAAAUUCUGUCAAACUAAAAGGACCAAAAAUAAUAUUUAGCCUUAUUUAUAAGAGAAUUUUUUUUAUACUUACGUUGUUCCGAAUGAAACUGAACUUAAUUUUUUUAAUUAAAAUUUUGAAUUUGAGUGUUUUUUUUUUUGACAAAAUAAAAGAUAUUUAUUCAUUCAAAUUGAAAGAGUACAUCGAUAUAAUGCAAAUUCGCUAAAAACAAAAAUGAUGAAUCUGUGAACAGGCUCACAACAUCCAUAUUAAUAGCAUAAAACAACAAAGUACAAAUGCCUACACAUAUGACUAUAUUUAAAUCUCCGGAAUAACCAUGUUUCCGGAUCUGCAACGUGGAUGACGCCAAAGUCAUUGAUUGGAUCUGCACUGGAUCGAAGAUGAUCUGACAAUCUGAAGCGAUUAAAUACCUGAGAGAAACAAGAAAAACAAACAACGUCGCACAAAGACGACGAACAACCAACGUCGCACGAAGACGACGAAAUCACAAAAUAAAAAACGAAAUAGAUGUGAAAUCACUUAUUUCAAUAAAAGGAAAAUAGAAAAACGAAUUAGAGGGGUGAUUUUGGGUCACAGGAGAAACUAAGGUUUGUGUGACGGCUCAGAGGAGAGAAAGGAAAAUAAUUUGAGUGUUGCGAAUAGAAAAAUCUUGAUUGAGAUAAAACACUGUACUAAAGAUGAUAAAUUAGGUUAGUUAUCUACUAUCAAAGAUGUUUGACAGCAAUAAUAUCUAUAUCUAUAUAUAAAAAGAUUAUGUUAUCUUAGAUUGAUUUAUUUUUUUUAUCUUUCGUACCCUUCAUUUAAAUCUUUAAUUAAUUAGUUAAAUCUUAUUACGUUAUGAACAAUUUAUUUAUGGUAUAUUCUAAACAAUGAUAACCAAACAUAAUAAGAUAAAAAUUUAAUUAAACGCAAUAAAAAAGCUGAAAGACAGAUACGUUAUUUUUUCUCUUGACGUAGUGAUUAUAAAAAAAUAUCUUACUCUUUUCAAAGUUAAAUAAAUAUUUGCACAUGCUUGAAAAAAUAAUGUUCAAAAUGGUUAACCUAUCACUUUCUAAACCAUAAACUCAACAUAUAAUGACUUUUUUUUUUGUUUGACAAAACAUAUAAUGACUUUUAAAAGGUAAUAAAGGAGAGAAAAAUGUUUAAUUUUCUUCAAAACAAAAGAAAACAUUUGUAUAAGCUUUUGACUCCAGCGACAAGUAAAUAAAAAUACUAAUCAACGAAGUUUUUUGCUAAUAUAUAAUAGUUAAGAGUUUGUUCGUAGAUUUUAAGAAUGACAUGGCAGAAUAAUCACCCUUAGAUUUUAUCAAGAAAUAUUCUUGAAAUUAAUGUUAGCCAAUAAAAUCUCAGCUUGGCCGGAAAUCAUGGGGUGGUGGGUGCUAUGUAUUAUUUUUUUUUAUGAAAGAUUAAUAAAUGAGACUGAAAUCUAAAGGUGAUUAUUGUGCCAUGUCAUUCUUAGAUCUUUCUUAUAAAAUCAUUCUUGAUAUCUAGCAUUUUCCAAUAGUUAAUGUUCCUGUCUGUCAAUAUUUCUUUUUUGACAGAGUUAAUAUUAAGUUGAGUAAAUUACACUCACCUCCCCUCAAAGAUACUUGAAUUACACUUCCCUCCCCUCUUAUGUUAAAAUAUACACUCCCCUCCCCUCUUAUUCAAAACAUAUUAGAAAAUAUUUCACUCCCCUCCCUUGAGAGAAGCUUGAAUUACAUUCACCUCCCCUCUUAAGUUAAAAUCUACGCUUUAGUCCCUCAAUAUUUUUUUUUAUUUCUAAUAAUCUAGAAAAAAAUAAUCGAGCACACUUCAAAGAAAAAUAACAUUGCGGAUUCAUUUUAAUAUAAUCAAAUUUUGAAUACAUAUCUUUCUCUAUUUUUUAUUCACAAUUUCAUUAGCAUAUAGUUUUAAACCCUAUUAUAAAAUAUGAAACAACUCAAAAUAAAAUUAAAAUAUGUGAAAAAUUACUAAAGUCGAUUAAGUAUGGUUACUUAAAAGUGAAUUUUGUACUGUAAAUUAUAAAAUUAAUUACAAAAUAUUUAAAUUUAAUUGUCAUUGACAUUUAGAUUAUAAAGAAACGAAUUUAUAUUUUUUAAAUGGUGAUUCAAAAUUAAUAUAUAUUAUAAAAAUAUUUAUUUAUGUUAAAAUAGAUUAAAGUGUAGUCCAUAUUUAAUUAUUAAGGGAGGGGGUUGUAAUUCAAGCAUCUUAUAGGGGAGGGGGUAUAAAUUUUCCUUUUCAAGGGAGGGGAGUGUAUAUUUUAACAUAAGAGGGGAGGGGAGUGCAAUUCAAGCAUCUUUGAGGGGAGGGGAGUGUAAUUUACUCUAUUAAGUUUAAUAACUUAUUAUAAAUAUAAAUUAUCGUUCCUAUUUUCUUCUAAAUCAUUGUCAAUGGGUCAAAUUAAAUGUUUGGUGAAAUUAUUCUGAAAUUUUAGGGAGAAACUCUUACAUGGUCACAAGACCAACACCUCAUAUUUAGACACACAUAAGAAGUUAAAAAAAAUUAAAAAGAAAAUGAUUAAAGUGAUAUUGAUUGAUGUGACUAUUUUAUUUAUCUUUUAAUUUUUUUGAUUUAUGUGUGUGCGCGCCUAAAUUUUGUGUCUAAAUGCUUGUGCUAUACAAGACUUUCUCAACUUUAGGUUGUCUAUAUGUGCUUGACUUUUCAAAAUAAUGAUGGUUGUUCUCCAUAGAAAAAAUAGUCUAUAAGAUAUCUUUGGAUAGGUUAUAAAAAAAAAUAGAGUAAAAAAUACGAUUAAAAGCUCAUUUGUUAUAGAUUAAAAAUUAAAUGGUUUUGAUAUUCAAUAAUUUAGAGAUUUUUUUUAUUUUUUUUUAUAAAAAACAGAAGCUAUUUUUUGUUUGUUUAGUAAAAUAAAAAUUAAUUUUUCUUUUUAAAAGUUACGACUAUAUAAAUAUCAUCCCUCAGGAAAAAAAACUAUAUAAAUAUCAAUUUUAUUACAAAAUUACCAUGAAUGACAUUAAAAUAACAAAACACAAUGAAUAUAUUAGAAUGUCAGUUUUCUUUUUUAAGGAUGUUUUUUAUUCAAAAAUAUCUCUAUUUUAUUUUCUAUAAGAUAUAAGAAAAAAUAUUUUUUUUAGAAGCCACUCAUAACAACUUCUCAUUUCUUGUCAAAAAAACAACUUCUCAUUUGAAGUUCUCUUUUGAUUUUUUAUUUUAUUUUUAAGUUGUAACAAACAUAUAAAAUACUUUUAAAAAUUAUUUUUUUUUCUUUUGAAAAAAAACAUAACAAAUAGACUCCGAAGCUCAGUAGCAAAACAGACUUUUCAAAUCACAUUUGGACAACCCAAAUCCGACCAUAUAUUUUAUCAAAUUGAAAUAAAAGAGCUCAGUCAGUGAGUUACGAUCUGAUAGAGGUUUACACACAAAGAUAAAAUUAAUCAAGACUUAUGACCCAAUCGGUUUCGCAUUUUGAGAGGCCUAUUGUGCAAUCCAUAAAUGCCCAGGGUAGUCUUGUGACAGAUGUGGGUUUAUCUGGGUUGACCGAACGAUACAAAUUACUAGCAAAUGUAUUCAUGUGUCGACAAGUAGUAAGAUUUAUAAAAAAAUCGUCUUCACAAGGAUUGUCUGAUUUCCACUCGACUCUUGUGCAUAUGAUUAGGGUAUUUGUAAUAAAAUGGGGGGUUUGUACAAUUUGAUUGGUUUAUUAUUAUUUUUUUUUAGAGAGAGAGCGAAAAGGUCAUGUCAGAUUCCUUCCUUGAAUUGCUUAUGUGACUACAAAUUAUGAAUACAAUGUUAUUGGUUACUUUAUUUUAAUACAUUUGAAUAAAAUAGCUAGGCCGAUGUCUUGGUUACUAAAUCUCUUCAACUGUUACUGUCCCCCGAUGUCUCGACUGAAUAAUCAUAGAAUAAUUUAAAGUUACAUAAUCAAACAGUUAAAAGGAAGUUCCUCUUUCAUGACCUAACCUAGAGAAUAUUAGCUGCUUAUAGUUUCUUGACAUAUAUAAAUAGAUAUGAAUAAGAAAACAUGAGAAAGGGAUCAUCAAUUGAUGAUAUCUUCACUUCUGAAUGGCUUCGGUCGCUCCAAUCCUUCCAAAAUCGUGUUUCUACCUUCGUCUACUCGUCAAAAAGUAUUUUUCCAUUGACCUGGGUGCCUAAUAUUUAUAGGUGAGUGUUCCCUAUUUUUUAGGGUAAGUUGGUUCAUGAUGUGAGCCUAAAUCUCGCGAUGCAAGAUAGGUAGUGAGAUUUCUUUUGGCAUGUCAUUCUAUUCUCACGAUGCGGAUUUGUAGCCCACAAUACGAGAUAGGUAGUAGCGAUCACAUUGAUUUCCAAUCGUGUCUCGCGAUGCGGGGUAUGUAGCCUGCGAUGCAAGAUUGACAAUAGCUGACUCCUUGAUUUCUUCAUUUCUUGCUCCAUUUCUUUUCACUAGAACGUCUGUAACUAUUGUGCCCCAAGUAUCAUUAGAGAUAAACUUGUAAGAAAAGCACAACACGAUUACAGAGUUGUCUGAUUCAGACGAGUUUCCAUGGCUUAAGACUUUUUCCCUUCUUUUGUCCUCUCAUGACUUUUUGAAUGAUUUCAUUAUAGAACUCGACUAAAACACAUGUAAACUAAUUACUUUAUCUCUAAAACGACUCUAAAAGUGCACGAAAAACCUAUAUGAUUUCUUGUCAUCACCCAACAUUUAUGAUGUAUUAAUUAAUUAUUAUACAAAAAAUUAUUUUUAUAAAAAUAAAAAGAAAAAGUAUUCAUAUCAUAAAGAAGCUUUAUGGGUAUAUAUAUGAAAAGAGAUUCUGUGAGAAAUGUGACAUGUUAUUUUUGCUAUUAUUGCACUCACAGCCGGGGAAGGAGGUUCAAGUAAAUCAAAGACUUUGAUCAUCACUAUUGUCAUUGUGUUGGUGGUGGUACUUGCUCUCAUAAGUUGCUGUAUCUUCUUCAUAUGGAGGCGCAAUCGCUCAAAUAAAGGUAAGUAACACAAUUUGUAAAGUACUUAUAAUAGAAAAGGGAAUUGAUAAUAGCAUUGCUGGAUUGAAAAUUCUGUAAACUCAUUUAUGAUCACAUGAAAAAUGUAACACUUAACAAGUUUUGUUAAUUUUGGUUAUAAAUAUAUAAAUCUUAGAUCCCUCAUAAACAAUGCUCAUCUUAGGUCAUAAGAAAAAAAUACAAAUGUGUCGUGGUAUUUUAUAUCUUGGACAUUAUUAGUGUCUAUGUAUUUGUAUCGAUCCUCUAACAAAAAAUGUAUUUGUAUCAAUAUUGUGUCAGGUAUUCACGUGUCUCACAUAUUAGUGUCUAUGUAUUUGUAUCGAUCCUCCAACAAAAGAUGUAUUUGUAUCGAUAUCAUGUCAGGUAUCCACGUGUCUCACAUAGAGUAAGUAAUAAGACAAAAUUCAAACUAAUAAAAGUUAUUUUUAUUAAUAUAGAUGGAAUACCAUCAAAGACAAUUCCCAUAUCUCAUCAUGGCCAUAUUCAAGGAGAGGAUACAUAUAAUGCAGACCUCCCAAUAAUCCCUUUAAUAUGGAUUCGACAAAGCACUAAUAACUUUUCAGAAUUAUGUAAACUAGGAGCAGGUGGUUUUGGUCCUGUUUACAAGGUAUGUUUUCUUAUUUUGAAUACAGAAAUGUUAAUAUUUUAAUUGGUAUUAAUAAUUAGUAUUUUAUCAUUUAACUCAUUCACAAGCAUGUAUAGUUUUGAUUAAUCAAAGUUGCCAUAUUUUAUUUUGAUUUUUUUUUAAUUUCUUUUCAACAUUUAUUUCAGGGUAAUUUAGUAGAUGGAACAGAAGUUGCAAUCAAAAGGCUCUCUACAACAUCUGGUCAAGGUUUGGAGGAGUUCACAAAUGAAGUAAUCUUUAUAGCUAAAUUACAACAUAGAAACCUUGUGAGACUUUUGGGUUGUUGCAUUGAGGAUAAUGAAAAGUUGCUUGUAUAUGAAUACAUGCCAAACUCUAGCCUUGACUUUCAUCUAUUUGGUAUGUUUUAAUAUACUUAAUUUCUUUCUAAAAGUAAUUUUUUUGUGUGUGAAUUAAAUAUUUUCUACGUACAAUUGCAGAGAUUAAUUUCUUGAGUCAAGUAAAACCAUUAGAUGUGACAAAGCUCUCCCUAACUUCUUUUUAUGGGUUCUACAUAUGAAUCAUAUAUAUUCUUUCACAUCCAUCAAAAUAUUAUUACUAGUAUAUAUUGCAUUUUGGAUGAAAUGUUAAUAUGCAAACCUUUAUUUUAGUCUUUAAACUAUCAUUCUCUUCUCUAUUUUCUACACUAUAGAAACAUAAUAAUUAGUCCCUAAACUAUUAUUAAUUUAUCAAAAUAUAUAGUUCCACAAUUGCUUUAAAAUAAGAGAAAAAUGAUGGAUUACAAACUAACUUGAUAGAUUAAAAAUAGUUUAGGAAGUACUUAUUAUAUUUCUAUAGUUCAUGGACCAAAGGGAAGAUAAUGUAAUAAUAUUAUGGUUUAUUCAAUUGUUAAUACAUCGAAGGAGAUUGCUUGCAAAUAAAGUUAUGAAUGGAGAAGAAAGAGAGUGAUUAUUAUUUCCUCUAUAUAUAAUUAUUUUCCUCAAUAUUACAACUUCCUUGCUCAAGUUUUGUUACUUGUUUGUUCUAUGCUCCACCAAUUGUUGUUGUAAAAUAUUUUUUUUUGUAACUUUAAUGUUAGAUGAGGCAAAAAGAAAACUUCUAGAUUGGAAGUUAAGACUGAACAUUAUCAAUGGAAUUGCAAAAGGACUCUUGUAUCUUCAUGAAGACUCUAGACUAAGAGUAAUCCAUAGAGACCUAAAAGCAAGUAAUGUUCUCUUAGAUCAAGAGAUGAAUCCAAAAAUAUCUGAUUUUGGAUUGGCAAGGGCAUUUGAAAAAGACCAAUGUCAAGAAAACACAAGAAGAGUUGUCG
rnacentral:lncRNA from 1 species